AUUGAACGCUGGCGGCAGGCCUAAUACAUGCAAGUCGACGGUAACAUAGAAAAGCUUGCUUUUCUCGAUGACGAGUGGCGGACGGGUGAGUAAGAUUUGGGAAACUACCUGAUAGAGGGGGACAACAGUUGGAAACGACUGCUAAUACCGCAUACAGCCUCAGGGUGAAAGAAGCGAUUCGCUAUCAGAUGUGCCCAAACGGGAUUAGCUAGUAGGUGAGGUAAAGGCUCACCUAGGCGACGAUCUCUAGCUGGUCUGAGAGGAUGAUCAGCCACAUUGGGACUGAGACACGGCCCAGACUCCUACGGGAGGCAGCAGUAGGGAAUAUUGCACAAUGGAGGAAACUCUGAUGCAGCCAUGCCGCGUGUGUGAAGAAGGCCUUCGGGUUGUAAAGCACUUUCGGAGGGGAGGAAGAAAAUGACGUUACCCUCAGAAGAAGCACCGGCUAACUCCGUG
rnacentral:rRNA from 1 species